rnacentral:rRNA from 1 species
UACAGAGGUCUCAAGCGUUGUUCGGAUUCAUUGGGCGUAAAGGGUGCGUAGGUGGCGUGGUAAGUCGGGUGUGAAAUUUCGGAGCUUAACUCCUAAACUGCAUUCGAUACUGCCGUGCUUGAGGACUGGAGAGGAGACUGGAAUUUACGGUGUAGCAGUGAAAUGCGUAGAGAUCGUAAGGAAGACCAGUGGCGAAGGCGGGUCUCUGGACAGUUCCUGACACUGAGGCACGAAGGCCAGGGGAGCAAACGGG